UAGUCAUGAUGUGGACAUGAAUUUAUGAGAUCUUUGAAUCUUUCCCAACAUUGGAAGGUCUCUUCCUCUUUUUGGGCGAAAUUCAAAAUCACCUUCCUUAAAGU